AAUCGGCUAUGAAUGAAGAUGCUGCCCAAUGCUUGUCAUUGGUUCACAUUUGAAAAGUUGUACAAAUUAACAAUUUUAUUUCGUUCAACGAGAUACAUUUUAGUUAUCGUAAUAAUUUAUCAGUACAAUCUGGCUGAUAUUUCUCAUAUAUAUCAGUACCCAGUUGCUGUGGCCUUGAAAUAUAAUAACGAUAAGGCAUUCCUGGAAAACAGAGCUACCACCAUAACAUCAUAAAGUUUGAGAGAAAAUUUUACAAAAGAUAGGUUUAUGUAUUACUGACAAGUUAAUCAAAUUAUAUUUUCAUGAUAAAAGUGCCAUUACUUCAACACAUCAGACGGAGCUUACCUUCAAUAAGUAGACCUUGUUUGUACUUGUCAUACUUAAAUCAGAAAACAAAGGGAAAGUGCAAAAUAAUCAAAACUGUGAUAUAAAUAAAUGUAUAAUCUUCUUCAAACAAGUGUCUGUGUAUUUAAUGUUUUUCUAUAAUUAUCCAAAUUUUCAAUGUAAACUUUGAAAGCAAGCAAUCAAAGUCGUAUAAACUAUGUGGUAUAGGAUUAUAUCUUUGUAGAAAUUUGGCAUCUAUGUUGAUGGAUUCAAGGGAGACCUUCGAUUAAUUUCGUAUUUUUGCAUUUCUCGACGCACUUGGAAUCCUUAUCAUAGUGCAUAAAAAGUUGUUAAACUUGUUUACAACUAGUUUCUCCUUCAGUUUAGAAAAGUGAA
rnacentral:lncRNA from 1 species